rnacentral:rRNA from 1 species
UGGCGGACGGGUGAGUAACGCGUGGAAAACCUGCCGUAUACUGGGGGAGUAACACUUAGAAAUAGGUGCUAAUACCGCAUAAGCGCACAGCUUCGCAUGAAGCGGUGUGAAAAACUCUGGUGGUAUACGAUGGUUCCGCGUCUGAUUAGCUAGUUGGUGGGGGUAAUGGCCUACCAAGGCAACGAUCAGUAGCCGGCCUGAGAGGGUGAACGGCCACAUUGGGACUGAGACACGGCCCAAACUCCUACGGGAGGCAGCAG